rnacentral:rRNA from 1 species
UACGAAGGGGGGCUAGCGUUGCUCGGAUUGACUGGGCGUAAAGGGCGCGUAGGCGGAUAGUACAGUCAGGCGUGAAAUUCCUGGGCUCAACCUGGGGGGCUGCGUUUGAUACGUGUUGUCUGGAGUUCGGAAGAGGGUCGUGGAAUUCCCAGUGUAGAGGUGAAAUUCGUAGAUAUUGGGAAGAACACCGGUGGCGAAGGCGGCGACCUGGUCCGAUACUGACGCUGAGGCGCGAAAGCGUGGGGAGCAAACAGG